UGCCAGCAGCCGCGGUAAUACGGAGGGCUCAAACGUUGUUCGGAAUCACUGGGCAUAAAGCGCACGUAGGCGGCCUAUCAAGUCAGAUGUGAAAGCCCCGGCCCAACCGGGGAACUGCAUCUGGAACUGGUAGGCUCGAGGAUGGCAGGGGUGAGUGGAACUCCAGGUGGAACGGUGAAAUGUGUAGAUAUCUGGAGGAACACCGGUGGCGAAAGCGGCUCACUGGGCCAUCACUGACGCUGAGGUGCGAAAGCUAGGGUAGCAAACGGGAUUAGAUA
rnacentral:rRNA from 1 species